rnacentral:tRNA from 1 species
GUCUCUGUAGCUCAGCCGGAUAGAGCGACCGCCUCCUAAGCGGUAGGCCGGAGGUUCGAAUCCUCUCAGGGACGCCA